rnacentral:misc_RNA from 1 species
AAGUCGUAACAAGGUUUCCGUAGGUGAACCUGCGGAAGGAUCAUUAACACUUUGUUAUACCCAAUAUCAACCCAAUGUGAAUUGUAACAUCCCUAUUCACGGUGAGAGAGUGCAUUGACUUCGGUCAGCGUGCUUGAUCAACGUGCGAUAGACAAUACCCUCCUAGUAGUCAUUAGGUCUGCUACUCUCACGAGCUAGCAGUCUAGUGAUGAACGUAUUCACCAAUUUUCACCCUAUAUUUUCAACCUGUCUUAUCUUCAUAAACUUUCUGACCGCUUCGGUGGUUGGCGAGCUUUACGAAAUCAUGAACAACUCUUAGCAAUGGAUAUCUUGGGUCAU